rnacentral:rRNA from 1 species
AGGAUUAACGCUGGCGGCGUGCCUAACACAUGCAAGUCGAACGAGGUAGCAAUACCUAGUGGCAGACGGGUGAGUAGCGCGUGGUCAACCUACCGUUGAGUGGGGGAUAACUAGCCGAAAGGUUAGCUAAUACCGCAUACGUCUCCGAGGGGCAUCCCUUGGCGAUAAAAGGAGCAAUCCGCUCGAUGACGGGACCGCGUCCCAUUAGCUAGUUGGUGGGGUAACGGCCUACCAAGGCGUCGAUGGGUAGCUGGUUUGAGAGAGCGACCAGCCACACUGGGACUGAGAUACGGCCCAGACUCCUACGGGAGGCAGCAGUGAGGAAUUUUCCGCAAUGGGCGAAAGCCUGACGGAGCGACGCCGCGUGUGGGAAGAAGGCCUUCGGGUCGUAAACCACUGUCGAAGGGGAAGAUAAUGACGGUACCUUGGAGGAAGCCCGGCUAACUACGUGCCAGCAGCCGC